rnacentral:rRNA from 1 species
AACGAACGCUGGCGGCAUGCCUAACACAUGCAAGUCGAACGAGAUCCUUCGGGGUCUAGUGGCGCACGGGUGCGUAACGCGUGGGAAUCUGCCCUUAGGUUCGGAAUAACAGUUAGAAAUGACUGCUAAUACCGGAUGAUGACGUUAAGUCCAAAGAUUUAUCGCCUGAGGAUGAGCCCGCGUAGGAUUAGCUAGUUGGUGUGGUAAAGGCGCACCAAGGCGACGAUCCUUAGCUGGUCUGAGAGGAUGAUCAGCCACACUGGGACUGAGACACGGCCCAGACUCCUACGGGAGGCAGCAGUGGGGAAUAUUGGACAAUGGGCGCAAGCCUGAUCCAGCAAUGCCGCGUGAGUGAUGAAGGCCUGAGGGUUGUAAAGCUCUUUUACCCGGGAUGAUAAUGACAGUACCGGGAGAAUAAGCCCCGGCUAACUCCGUG